rnacentral:tRNA from 1 species
GCGGUAGCUCAGUCGGUAGAGCAGGGGAUUGAAAACCCCCGUGUCGGCGGUUCGAUUCCGUCUCUGGGCACCA